rnacentral:rRNA from 1 species
ACGAUGAGGACCCAUCAACUUGGAUUUUGUAAGUAGUUGCAGAAUGAACACAAAUUUGAUCACUUUGGCAAUCUGUACACAUUGCUGUGUAACAAUUUGUAUACGUUGGCACAGUGCUAUCAAAGCUGCAUGCAAGUGUUUUUUGAAAGGAUACAACAUGGGAUGUGAUAUUCAUGUGUGUGUGCCUGCUUUGUCCACAGCCUGUGCUGUAUGAAUCACAUUUCUUGCAACUGAAAUGCUAAUGGCAUGGUAAAGUUCAUGUGACAUGACACAAGCUUGAGAUUCAUGAUGUGCAAGUACCAUGAGGGAAAUGUGAAAAGGACUUUGGAAAGAGAAUUAAAUAAAGCCUGCAUUUGCUGACAAUGAAAGCAAGUGUGGAUGUUCAUGUAAUUGUUACUGCAUCAAUCAAUGUUCAUCUUGGUUACUGCAUGCUUUAUAUUACAGCUCAGAACAUGAAGUGUGUGUAACAGCUCUGCUUUGAUUUUUCCCACAUGGGAUCAGUUGAAACAUUGUGAGAGCACUCUUCAGUUUCCUUAUGUACCCACCAGCUUUGUCCACUCGCGUGUUGGCACACAUGUAAUGAUGAUGUGUUUAUGCAAGAUACUUCUGUGCUCAACAACAUGUUGUCAUCUCCUCGUG